GACGAACGCUGGCGGCGUGCUUAACACAUGCAAGUCGAACGGAAAGGCCCUUCGGGGUACUCGAGUGGCGAACGGGUGAGUAACACGUGGGUGAUCUGCCUCGUACUCUGGGAUAAGCCUGGGAAACUGGGUCUAAUACCGGAUAGGACCAUUCCUCGCAUGGGGUGUGGUGGAAAGUUUUUCGGUACGAGAUGGGCCCGCGGCCUAUCAGCUUGUUGGUGGGGUAAUGGCCUACCAAGGCGACGACGGGUAGCCGGCCUGAGAGGGCGACCGGCCACACUGGGACUGAGACACGGCCCAGACUCCUACGGGAGGCAGCAGUGGGGAAUAGUGCACAAUGGGCGCAAGCCUGAUGCAGCGACGCCGCGUGAGGGAUGACGGCCUUCGGGUUGUAAACCUCUUUCACCAGGGGCGAAUUGAGACGGUACCUGGAGAAGAAGCACCGGCCAACUACGUGCCAGCAGCCGCCGUAAAAC
rnacentral:rRNA from 1 species